AUUGAACGCUGGCGGCAUGCCUACACAUGCAAGUCGAACGGUAACAGGUCUUCGGAUGCUGACGAGUGGCGAACGGGUGAGUAAUACAUCGGAACGUGCCCGAGAGUGGGGGAUAACGAGGCGAAAGCUUUGCUAAUACCGCAUACGAUCUCAGGAUGAAAGCAGGGGACCGCAAGGCCUUGCGCUCACGGAGCGGCCGAUGGCAGAUUAGGUAGUUGGUUGGAUAAAAGCUUACCAAGCCGACGAUCUGUAGCUGGUCUGAGAGGACGACCAGCCACACUGGGACUGAGACACGGCCCAGACUCCUACGGGAGGCAGCAGUGGGGAAUUUUGGACAAUGGGCGCAAGCCUGAUCCAGCCAUGCCGCGUGCAGGAUGAAGGCCUUCGGGUUGUAAACUGCUUUUGUACGGAACGAAAAGACUCUGGUUAAUACCUGGGGUCCAUGACGGUACCGUAAGAAUAAGCACCGGCUAACUACGUGCCAGCCGCCGCGGUAAAAC
rnacentral:rRNA from 1 species